AUAACCGGUACGGGCCCUGAGAUGGGGAGCNNGGAGAUGNNACCUGAGACAAGGUUCCAGGCCUUACGGGGCGCAGCAGGCGCGAAAACUCCACAAUGCACGAAAGUGUGAUGGGGUUACCCCGAGUGCCGUCUGUUGAAGAUGGCUUUUCAUUGGUUUAAGGAGCCGGUGGAAUAAGGGGGGGGCAAGAUUGGUGUCAGCCGCCGCGGUAAUACCAACCCCCCGAGUGGUGGGGACGAUUAUUUGGCUUAAAGCGUGCGUAGCCGGCCUGAUAAGUCUCUCGCUAAAUCCAGCGAUCCAAUCGUUGGCCCGCGGAAGAUACUGUCAAGCUAGGAGGCGGGAGAGGCCGACGGUAUUCCUGGGGUAGGGGUGAAAUCCUAUAAUCCUGGGAGGACCACCAGUGGCGAAGGCGGUCGGCCAGAACGCGCUCGACGGUGAGGAACGAAAGCUGGGGGAGCGAAUCGGAUUAGAUACCCGAGUAGUCCCAGCUGUAAACGAUGCAGGCUAGGUGUUGGAGCGGCUACGAGCCACUUCAGUGCCGCAGGGAAACCAUUAAGCCUGCCGCCUGGGGAGUACGACCGCAAGGUUGAAACUUAAAGGAAUUGGCGGGGGAGCAC
rnacentral:rRNA from 1 species